rfam:Pongo abelii chromosome 19.
CAGGACAAUGGUGAGUGCCGGUGUUGCCCUGGGGCCGUCCCUGCGUGGGGGCCGGGUGCUCACCGCAUCUG